rnacentral:rRNA from 1 species
UACGAAGGGGGCUAGCGUUGCUCGGAAUCACUGGGCGUAAAGCGCACGUAGGCGGAUUGUUAAGUCAGGGGUGAAAUCCUGGAGCUCAACUCCAGAACUGCCUUUGAUACUGGCGAUCUUGAGUCCGGGAGAGGUGAGUGGAACUCCGAGUGUAGAGGUGAAAUUCGUAGAUAUCGGGAGGAACACCGGUGGCGAAGGCGGCGACCUGGGUAGAUACUGACGCUGAGGUGCGAAAGCGUGGGGAGCAAACAGG